AGUGAACGCUGGCGGUAGGCCUAACACAUGCAAGUCGAACGGCAGCACAGUAAGAGCUUGCUCUUACGGGUGGCGAGUGUCGGACGGGUGAGGAAUACAUCGGAAUCUACUUUUUCGUGGGGGAUAACGUGGGGAAACUUACGCUAAUACCGCAUACGACCUACGGGUGAAAGCAGGGGAUCUUCGGACCUUGCGCGAUUGAAUGAGCCGAUGUCGGAUUAGCUAGUUGGCGGGGUAAAGGCCCACCAAGGCGACGAUCCGUAGCUGGUCUGAGAGGAUGAUCAGCCACACUGGAACUGAGACACGGUCCAGACUCCUACGGGAGGCAGCAGUGGGGAAUAUUGGACAAUGGGCGCAAGCCUGAUCCAGCCAUACCGCGUGGGUGAAGAAGGCCUUCGGGUUGUAAAGCCCUUUUGUUGGGAAAGAAAAGCAGCAGGUUAAUACCCCGCUGUUCUGACGGUACCCAAAGAAUAAGCACCGGCUAACUUCGUG
rnacentral:rRNA from 1 species